AAAGGAAUAGACGGGGACCCGCACAAGCAGCGGAGCAUGUGGUUUAAUUCGAUGCAACGCGAAGAACCUUACCAGGGCUUGACAUCCCUCUGACCGUCCUAGAGAUAGGGCCUUCUCUUCGGAGACAGAGGUGACAGGUGGUGCAUGGUUGUCGUCAGCUCGUGUCGUGAGAUGUUGGGUUAAGUCCCGCAACGAGCGCAACCCUUGCCUUUAGUUGCCAUCAGGUAAAGCUGGGCACUCUAGAGGGACUGCCGGUGACAAACCGGAGGAAGGUGGGGAUGACGUCAAAUCAUCAUGCCCUUUAUGUCCUGGGCUACACACGUGCUACAAUGGUCGGUACAAUGGGAGGCCACCUAGCGAUAGGGAGCGAAUCCCCAAAGCCGAUCUCAGUUCGGAUUGCAGGCUGCAACUCGCCUGCAUGAAGCCGGAGUUGCUAGUAAUCGUGGAUCAGAAUGCCGCGGUGAAUGCGUUCCCGGGUCUUGUACACACCGCCCGU
rnacentral:rRNA from 1 species